UAUGGUGGUGGCUUCCAGUGAGAUCUCACAGAAAGUUUGUGAGAUCUUCCUGGAAGCUGCACCAUC